rnacentral:ncRNA from 1 species
CAGAGUAGAAGGCUGUGCGUGAAGUGACAACGGACGGGGAGUUGCCGUUGUACGAAAAGCAUAAAACGCUUGCGGUACAGCUUUCGCAUCCCGCUG